rnacentral:rRNA from 1 species
UACGUAGGGUGCGAGCGUUGUCCGGAAUUAUUGGGCGUAAAGAGCUCGUAGGCGGUUUGUCGCGUCGACUGUGAAAACCCGAGGCUUAACCUCGGGCCUGCAGUCGAUACGGGCAGACUAGAGUUCGGUAGGGGAGACUGGAAUUCCUGGUGUAGCGGUGAAAUGCGCAGAUAUCAGGAGGAACACCGGUGGCGAAGGCGGCUAUCUGGACAGAAACUGACGCUGAGGCGCGAAAGCUAGGGGAGCAAACGGG